GCAGAGUUCUCCUGGGGGGUCAGACUCUGUCAGCACAGAAAGCCUGAAACUCUCAGCACCUGGGGUUCCAACAGGUUUCCAUCUGUCCCUGGCGUGUUGCUCCAUCUGGAGAGGCCCAGGAAGCACCAGGAGCUGGAAAAGUGGCGAUGGAAAACCCAGCAGCAGCUGGGAAGGAGCAAAGCUGGAGCUGCCAAUAUUCCAAAAUUCCAGGGGAAAUGAAAUGGGAGAUUUGGAUCCUACCUGUGCUCACCCCAGUGUUUCCCAGGUGCCCAAAUUCUUCAGGCUGCUCCGGAGGGAAGUGGACUCGGACCUUCAAGACAUUCAACUCAUCUAGAGCUCCAGGGGGGUUUGGACAAGGAUUUCAGGGUUGGGGUUUAAUCAUUCCCCGUGCAACUGACGCAGAUCCAUUUGUCCGGGAAGAGAAUUUCCAUGGAAAAUCAGCGACCUGCUCUGUGCCUGGGGGAUAUCUAAAUAUAAACACCCUGGCAGGGGCCGCACUUCAUUUUCUCCGAGCGUGGUCGGGCUCAA